UAGUUAAGAAGCUUUAUGAAAAGCAUAUGUUUUGAAAACAUAAGACAGAAGUUUAAUUCUUCUAUUAACUUU
rnacentral:tRNA from 1 species